AAUGCUUUUUCUUCUUUAUCUGCUGCAUUUUGUAGGUUACAGUCCACUUUGUUGUUAAGGUAAGGGACUGGGUUAGUUUUUAGUGCCCAACUAUCUAUCCAGCACCACUGUUUCCUCUUCUUUUAUUAUGACACUUUUACUUACGUUUAUUAACCUAUUCAAUUUUCUACCUCUUACCCUUCAACUGACAGUUCAAUGGCUUUCAGUGACGGUACUUCAACUCACACAUUUCGACUGAUUUUUACUUAUUUUUUCUCUUGUCUUUAUUUGCAUAUUUGGUAUUUAAUCCAAAAGAUUAGUUAGUAAGAUUACUUCUUACAUUAUGUUAUUAUUACUUCUUACAUUAUUACUUAUUACUUAUUAAUGGUUAAGGUUAGGCAUUGAUCUUGAGUAGUUAAGGUUAGGCAUUGAUCUUGAAUAGUUAAGGUUAGGCAUUGACCAGCAGUUUAUCAUGAUAUUAUUUUCUCAUUCUUUAGAAUAAAACAGAACGGUAUUU